UCACCCCCACCCUGACUCCAGUUCAUGAACUGGUCAAAGGAAGAGCCAUGCCAGCAAACGUCUACACUGUACAUGCUUUUUAUUACAAGACUACGGAGCAUAGGAGGAAAAUUCAUCAUCUGGGGUUUUGUUUGUGUUUCCCCAGGAAAAGAACUACAGCCUGUGUGGGUCCCCUCCCGACAAUUAAAAUUGCACCAUAACUCCAAAGAUGAAACGCUCCCAGAAAGAAAAGGCAAAGACCCAUCGGAAACAAAAGAGCAACUUUCACCGCCUGAUACAUACACUUCAUGACAUCCACAUUGAGACAAAAUCUCGCCGUGUGACCUACAACACCUCUCGUUCAACCCCACCUACUUGGGGUCGAAUACAGAUUUUAUCUCAUCAAACAGAAAAAUUCUUAACAGAAAAAGGAAUCCCAAAAAUGACUGGUAAUAUAAUUCUGGCUGCCUUUAUGGUAGUCAGUGCAGCGUCUGCAGAUGCCUCUAAGGAGUCCGAAACCAAGUCCGAAGUCAACAACAAGCAAUGAUGGCGAUGGCGAUUCUAGUUAAUAAAAAGGGGGGAGAUGUGGGCGGCAAGCCACCCAGGCACCGAGGCAAGAGACAGAGGACACGAGCUGUUCCAGUAUAAUAAAAUAUAAAACAAGAAUAGUUAUACCAGAUAUAGAUCUUAGAUAUGAUUAUAUACGAAUAUCAUUAAUCAUGAGUUUGUAGCAAUUACUUUUUAUUCCAAUAUUAUGAUAAUCCUCGCUCUAUAAUCAUAGCCUAGGAAAAACCAGGCCAUACAGAGAUAGGAGCUGAGGGGACAUAGUGAAGUGUGACCAGAAGACAAGAGUGCGAGCCUUCUGUUAUGCCCGGACAGGGCCACCAGAGGGCUCCUUGGUCUAGCGGUGACGCCAGCGUCUGGGAAGACACCCGUUACCAGGCGGAUCGUGGCCCAGCCGUAGCAAAAGGUGUCAAGGAACACCUUUUGCAAAAGGUGUCAACACCCGCUACUUAGCAGACUGGGAAAGGGGGGCGGUCUCCCUUUCCCCGGGGGAGUUUAGAGAAGACUCUGUUCCUCCACCUCUUGUGGAGGGCCUGACAUCAGUCAGGCUUGCCCGUAGUUAUCCGGAGGCCUAACUGUCUCCCUGUGAUGCUGUGCUUCAGUGGUCACGCUCCUAGUCUGCCUUCAUUUUCCAUCCUGUACACCUGGCUCUGCCUUCUAGAUAGCAGUAGUAAAUUAGUGAAAAUACUAAUAGUCCCUGAUAUGCAGAAAUAAUGGCAUAAGCUGUCUUUCUCUCUGUCUCCUCUCCCUCUCUGCCUCGGCUGCCAGGCAGGGAAGGGCCCCCUGUCCAGUGGACACAUGACCCAUGUGACCUUACCUAUCAUUGGA
rnacentral:lncRNA from 1 species